UACGAAGGGGGCUAGCGUUGCUCGGAAUCACUGGGCGUAAAGGGUGCGUAGGCGGGUUUUAAGUCAGGGUGAAAUCCUGGAGCUCAACUCCAGAACUGCCUUUGAUACUGAAGAUCUUGAGUUCGGGAGAGGUGAGUGGAACUGCGAGUGUAGAGGUGAAAUUCGUAGAUAUUCGCAAGAACACCAGUGGCGAAGGCGGCUCACUGGCCCGAUACUGACGCUGAGGCACGAAAGCGUGGGGAGCAAACAGGG
rnacentral:rRNA from 1 species